rnacentral:rRNA from 1 species
CACACCGCCCGUCACACCAUGGGAGUUUGUUGCACCAGAAGCAGGUAGCUUAACCGCAAGGGGGGCGCUUGCCACGGUGUGGCCGAUGACUGGGGUGAAGUCGUAACAAGGUACCC